UACGUAGGGUGCGAGCGUUGUCCGGAAUUAUUGGGCGUAAAGAGCUUGUAGGUGGUUUGUCGCGUCUGCUGUGAAAAUCCGAGGCUCAACCUCGGACUUGCAGUGGGUACGGGCAGACUAGAGUGUGGUAGGGGGAGACUGGAAUUCCUGGUGUAGCGGUGGAAUGCGCAGAUAUCAGGAGGAACACCGGUGGCGAAGGCGGAUCUCUGGGCCAUUACUGACGCUGAGGAGCGAAAGCGUGGGGAGCGAACAGG
rnacentral:rRNA from 1 species